CUGCGUAGACUGCGUCAUGGCGUAGACAUUGGAGGUAGUUCGGCUGUGCGUCACUUCGAUGCACACAAGUGCAGGCCAAAACAUGUCCCACCCUCGGACGAAGCCUUGACAAUGUCGCCCAAUGAUUAGUCACACCAUUUCAGGCCUUUGAAAAUGUACGCACACCACUUUCACUCAAGGAAUUUAGAAGAUGUGCCAUCGACGUAUUUUUAUUUGAAAGCACUGCUUGGGCGGGCUAACAGAAAAAUGAAAUAAGGAUUAUUGGCUCCUGUGUCCUAAUGGACACUGACUUGCAUCAGUUCUCCUGCGAUGCAGCUGUGAUGACCGCUGGCCACGCCUAAAGGCGUCAUCAGUACUCGAAGUGUUCCCAGGUGGUCUCCCUCCCCAAGUACUGAAAGCUUCCAGUGCUUCUUGGCUUUGUGGUUCAGACCUGAUGGUCUCUCCCAGGGGAACUGGCAAAUCCGUGUCCUUGUCCGCAUAUCAUGUCAUGCACUGCAUGUCGGAAUCAACACUCAACGCUCUCCCGCAGGGAAUGUCUGCCAAAAACCAUUAAAUCUUAUUUUUAGAACCCGUUAA
rnacentral:lncRNA from 1 species